rnacentral:rRNA from 1 species
UACGGAGGGGGCUAGCGUUGUUCGGAAUUACUGGGCGUAAAGCGCACGUAGGCGGCUUUGCAAGUUAGAGGUGAAAGCCCGGGGCUCAACUCCGGAAUUGCCUUUAAAACUGCAUCGCUAGAAUUGUGGAGAGGUAAGUGGAAUUCCGAGUGUAGAGGUGAAAUUCGUAGAUAUUCGGAAGAACACCAGUGGCGAAGGCGGACUUACUGGACACAUAUUGACGCUGAGGUGCGAAAGCGUGGGGAGCAAACAGGG